AUUGAACGCUGGCGGCAUGCCUUACACAUGCAAGUCGAACGGCAGCACGGGAGCAAUCCUGGUGGCGAGUGGCGAACGGGUGAGUAAAGUAUCGGAACGUGCCCAGUCGUGGGGGAUAACGUAGCGAAAGUUACGCUAAUACCGCAUACGAUCUAUGGAUGAAAGCGGGGGAUCGCAAGACCUCGCGCGAUUGGAGCGGCCGAUAUCAGAUUAGGUAGUUGGUGGGGUAAAGGCUCACCAAGCCGACGAUCUGUAGCUGGUCUGAGAGGACGACCAGCCAAACUGGGACUGAGACACGGCCCAGACUCCUACGGGAGGCAGCAGUGGGGAAUUUUGGACAAUGGGCGAAAGCCUGAUCCAGCCAUGCCGCGUGCAGGAUGAAGGCCUUCGGGUUGUAAACUGCUUUUGUACGGAACGAAAAGGUUUGGCCUAAUAAGCUGAGCUCAUGACGGUACCGUAAGAAUAAGCACCGGCUAACUACGUGCCAGCAGCCGCGGUAA
rnacentral:rRNA from 1 species